rnacentral:rRNA from 1 species
UACGUAGGGUGCGAGCGUUAAUCGGAAUUACUGGGCGUAAAGAGCGCGCAGGCGGUCGUAUAAGUCGAAUGUGAAAGCCCCUGGCUCAACUAGGGAGAGUCAUUCGAUACUGUUCGACUCGAAGGCAGGAGAGGGAAGUGGAAUUCCGGGUGUAGUGGUGAAAUGCGUAGAUAUCCGGAGGAACACCAGUGGCGAAGGCGACUUUCUGGCCUGUUCUUGACGCUGAGGCGCGAAAGCUAGGGGAGCAAACGGG